ACUUAGAGGUAAAGAGAUAAAUCCCAAAAGAACUGACUGAAGGUACCAUAUAGAGCUGUGGCUGAAAAGAGAAUUUGGCAGGCAAAAAAGUGGUGUUUUUCAUAACUAGUCUUGUAAGACUAGUAGUAUGUCUUUACUGUGUGCCUGCAUUACUGUGACAAAACAGACUCAAUGAACAAAAUGGUUUGUAUUUCUGAUAAUUUUCUAACCAUGUUUGUUUCCAGGCAGUAUGUAUGUUUUCACAGUGCUCAGUGCUUCUGAAAGAUGGAUGAAUAGCUCCAGGCAUUCUAAGAAGGUAUUAUUAGCGCCCUCGGCAUCUCCCUGGAUGAGUCUCUACUUUUCAUUCCAGAUGUUGUGAGACCACAUCAAACAGGAACCUCUGCCGUCAAGUCUGAACAUCUGAAUGUCUGGACUUAAAGCUGGUGCUCCUCAUGGUACAAUACAGUCACAGAUCAUCAUGACUGGCAGAUAAUGUUCUGGAUAAUGACAUUUUCUCUGAAAUAAGACCACAGAAUUCCUGAAAUUGAUAGUUUGUAGCCAUUUAAAAAAAAAAGAAAGAAAGAAAGCUUUAAAUAAUAUGUACUCAUGACUCUGCCUUAGUUAACAGAGUGGGCUGGAGCAGAACUUAAACUUGUGUUGAUUUAGAAUCGCCAUUGGCUGUACACUCCUGAUAGCAUUUUCUGUCCAUGGGAGAAACGCAGCCUGCCGUUUCCCAGAAUUCUAUCAGAUCACCUUCUAGUCAGCCAUCGGUGUCCCUGCUUCUAUUUUAAAAAUCCUAGUUUACUAGUCAAGUUUAAUAGUUUCACUUUUGCACCACUCCCCUUGGGUAGGCUUUCUAAAACCACAGAUAUUCAUAGAAUGAGAAUUUGUAGCGCUAGAAGGAAAUUGGAGCUUCCCAUUGGUCGCCUGAGGGCAGGAUGGCAGAUUGCUAAGGAAACCUGAGAAUCCAGUGUUCGUGCCAAGAAAUCAAGAUCUCUCUGUGCAUCUGAAAGAAUCAGUGAUCAAGACCUUGUCUCCAUUGCCAUUGUUGAGGUGAAAGUCUUUUAAUUUACAGCUUAAUUUCAUGGCCGCAGUUAAUCUGGAACCAGGUCCCAGGGUGAGAACGCAACUGUACCCCUGUUCAAUCCCAUCUACGGCAAGUGUCAUAGGAUUUAGAACUCCCUAAGUCCCCACCUAUGGCACCUGCCCCUCUUGAGUCAGUGUGGGAUGCAACCAUCAGUAAACUUGGGCAGUUAGGAGGUGUAUGAAACAGUCCAAGCCAAAGAUCAGGGAUCCUGAUGAGAACAGAGGAGUGUCCAGAUUCAGUCCCUGUUCCAAAGUGAGAACUGGCAGGUUUGGUGACUGGUUUCUGGGUGAAGUUAGGGGGCAGUCUCAGAUAAGAUGGCUCUCUAACUUGGGUGUGACAUAAGCCAGGAUUGAGAGCACAAAGAUAGGAGCUAUUUUAAAAGGAUAGGUAGCAGGUUCCUCUUUGCACAUAUAUUUGAGGGGAGGUGAAGAGGGAAUAUAGUUGUUACUGGCAUAACAAGCACUCGGGCUAUAACUAUUCUGGAAGAGGCUUAUGGCAUCGCCUUGACUAGGAAGACCCUGUGGUGGAAAGAGUCAGACCAUGUUGCUUCUCUUAGACCAGGUUCUUCCACCAACCAGCUGUAUUCUCCUAAGCACAUCAUAACUUUCCUGACAUUUCUAAAACAUUUUUUAAAGUCUAUAAAAUGAGAAUAUUUUCAAGGUCUGUUUUCACUGUGACAGGUAUACUUUGAUUGGCUCUGUCUCUUUUUCCAGGAUGGUAUACUUGCUUGGCUUUUUUCUUUCUUUUUUAAAAAGAACGUAUUCAUUUAUGAGAGAGAGAGAGACAAAGAACAGAGGGAGCAGGAAGCCUGAUGCAGGGUUUGAUCCAAGGACCAGGAGAUAGUGACCUGAGCCAAAAGCAAACACUUAACCAACUUGAGCCACCCAGACGCCCCUAAUUGCUUGUUUUUCCAACAGUGCACUUGUGUAUUGCGGCUGAGACAGCUACAUCAGCUUUACUGCCUUAUCAGCUGUGUCCAGUAGAAGCUUUGUCUCUCUGUCAGGGCACUGCCUGCUUCCUGUGGUUUGAAGCUAGUGGAUUAAGUGAUGGUGACUCGCUGCCCUAGUUGCAGGACUUGAACUUCCAGCACUGUCCUAAUUUCCUUGCUGUACCCUCUCUGGGACUUACUUGCUAUCGUGCAACCUUAGGAAGGUUUUUUGUUUUGUUUUGUUUAAGUUGCAGUUAAAAAAAAAAAUCACAUCCCAUAAAUUCACCAUCGUAACCAUUUUUUUAAAAAGUGUACAAUUUCAUAACUUUUAAUCCAUUCACAAUGUGGGCCAACCAUCACCAUAUUCAAGUUCCAGAAGAUUGUUACUAUCCCACAAAGAAACCUUGUUACCCGUGGAGCAGUCACUCCCCAUUUCCCCUUCUCCAACUCCUGGCAACCACUAACUGCUUUCUGGCCCUUUGGAUUGGUCUCUUCUGAAUUUUCAUGUAGAUGGAGUCAUAAGAACCGUGUCCUUUUGUGUUUGGCUUUUCUCACUUAGCAUGAUGUUUUCAGGGUUAGUCUGUGUCAUGGCAUAUAUCGGUGCUUCCUUCUUUUGUACAGCUGAGUAAUAUUCCACUGCAGGCACAUCACACAUAUUGUUUAUCUGCCCAUCUACUGGUGGACAUUUGAGUUGUUUCAAACUUCUGGCUGUUGUGAAUAGAGAUGCUAUGAAUGUUCGUGUGUAAGUUUUUGCUUGAACACCAGAUUUCAAUUCUUUGGGGUACAUACUUAGGAGAAGAAUUUCUGGCUCAUAUAGUAAUUCUAUGUUUAACUUUUGGAAGAACUACCAAACUGCUUUCCAUAGCAGCUGAACCAUUUUACAUUCCCAUCAGCCACUUAUGAGAGUUCCAGUUUCACAGUAUCCUCACUAACACCUGUUAUUUUUUUUAUUUAUUAUAGCCACCUUAGUGGGGGUGAAGUAAUAUCCCACUGUGGUUUGGGUUUGUAUUUUCCCAAUGAUCAGUGAUGUGGACUUAUCCUUCCAUGUGCCUGUUGGCUAUUUGCAUAUCUAUUAAAACCUUUUGCCUAUUUGUUUCA